ensembl:lncRNA
AGAGCAUACAGAGAGUGACAACUGCUGCGGUACUCGGGGCUGCUGUGAAGGAGUCGUAUGGAAAGGGAAGGACCGCUUCACAGAAGGAGGGUGUAAUGAGGAAUAUCGAAGGUAGAAGGAACUAGCUGCGUGGCCUGAGGAGCAGUGUAAGAAGAUGGCUGGAAAUACGGCCUGCCUCCUGCUCCCACCUGAGGGUGGGCUGAGGAGGACACAAUGGGCUCUGUGGUUCCGAGAUGAGAGAGAAGAGUAGCAAAGGGGAUUAAUCAGGCUGAAGAAUCUGGCUGCAAGGCAUCCUGACGGUGACUGGAGCAGCCUGUGCUGCUGAACUGGUUCUUCUUCACUCAUCACAGCUUCAGGGGAGGUCUUGCAGGAAUCUAAGAACACUUCAGGAAAGAGCUGAACUCUGGGCUGGCUGCACAGAGCCCAGGGAGCUGAGACGACGGCAGGAAAC